GAGAAGCGAGCUGAGCACCACCACACAUCUCUCUCUGCUUCCUGUGUAUGCAACGUGACCAGCUGCCUCAUGUCCUGCCGUCGUGCCUCCCCCACCUUGAUGGACUGAACCCUCCAUCAUUAGCAGGUGUGCCUCAAGUACCAAAUGAAUCAACGAAUCAAGAGAUGAAUGAAGGAUGCCCAGGAAGGCCGCCGCCCACUUCCUGCAGAAGCCCUGUCUACACACCCCUUGUGCUCACAUUCACUGACUCCUCUCAGCAACCAUCUGGGGCAGGUCCCACCAACCGUGCUGUUGGACCUUUUACAGCUGGGGAAACUGAGGCACCGAGGAACAAUCUCUGCUAACUUGUUGCAUUAGUGUCCCUGGACUGUUCUAACGAAUGCCCCCAGCUGGUUGGCUUGAGACACUGGGAAUGUACACAGAAGUCCCAAAUCUAGCUGUGGUAUGGCUGUGGUCCCUCUGGGGAUUGUAGGGUCCCUGCUCCUUCCAGCUCGUGGGGCCCCAAGUAUUCUUUGGCUUGUAGCUAUACCAUCCCAACCUCUUCCUCCAUGGUUAUCUGGCUCCCGCCAGGGAGUUCUCAGCAACAAAUGCUUAACACAAUUCCAUCUGCAGACACUGUUUCGCAACGGGGCCAUGGAGUCAGGCCCGCCUGAAUUCUGCUUUGCUCAGACAUCUAUGGGUUGGAUCUUUGUGAGGCUUUGUACCAGAGCCUGCCUGAGAGAUUAAUGCAUCUCUCGACUCUCACCAGAGAAGUUUCCU